rnacentral:rRNA from 1 species
UACGUAGGGGGCAAGCGUUGUCCGGAAUCAUUGGGCGUAAAGAGCGCGCAGGCGGCUUGGCAAGUCGGGUGUGAAAUCCCGGGGCUCAACCCCGGGACUGCAUUCGAUACUGUCAGGCUAGAGGUAGGUAGGGGAGAUCGGAAUUCCUGGUGUAGCGGUGAAAUGCGCAGAUAUCAGGAGGAACACCGGUGGCGAAAGCGGCUUCCUGGCCCGACACUGACGCUCAUGUACGAAAGCGUGGGGAGCAAACAGG